UACGUAGGGUGCAAGCGUUUGUCCGGAAUUAUUGGGCGUAAAGAGCUCGUAGGCGGUUCGUUGCGUCGGCUGUGAAAACCUGCGGCUUAACUGUGGGCUUGCAGUCGAUACGGGCAGACUUGAGUUCGGCAGGGGAGACUGGAAUUCCUGGUGUAGCGGUGAAAUGCGCAGAUAUCAGGAGGAACACCGAUGGCGAAGGCAGGUCUCUGGGCAUUAACUGACGCUGAGGAGCGAAAGCAUGGGGAGCGAACAGG
rnacentral:rRNA from 1 species